rnacentral:rRNA from 1 species
UACGUAGGGUGCAAGCGUUACUCGGAAUUACUGGGCGUAAAGCGUGCGCAGGCGGUGAUGUAAGACAGAUGUGAAAUCCCCGGGCUCAACCUGGGAACUGCAUUUGUGACUGCAUCGCUGGAGUACGGCAGAGGGGGAUGGAAUUCCGCGUGUAGCAGUGAAAUGCGUAGAUAUGCGGAGGAACACCGAUGGCGAAGGCAAUCCCCAGGGCCUGUACUGACGCUCAUGCACGAAAGCGUGGGGAGCAAACAGG